rnacentral:rRNA from 1 species
CCUACGGGAGGCAGCAGUGGGGAAUUGUUCGCAAUGGGCGCAAGCCUGACGACGCAACGCCGCGUGGAGGAUGAAGACCUUCGGGUCGUAAACUCCUUUCGAUCGAGACGAAUGUUUUCCGGGUGAACAAUCCGGAAAAGUGACGGUACCGAGAGAAGAAGCCCCGGCUAACUCUGUGCCAGCAGCCGCGGUAAUACAGGGGGGGCAAGCGUUGUUCGGAAUUACUGGGCGUAAAGGGCUUGUAGGUGGCCAACUAAGUCAGACGUGAAAUCCCUCAGCUUAACUGGGGAACUGCGUCUGAUACUGGAUGGCUUGAGUUUGGGAGAGGGAUGCGGAAUUCCAGGUGUAGCGGUGAAAUGCGUAGAUAUCUGGAGGAACACCGGUGGCGAAGGCGGCAUCCUGGACCAACACUGACACUGAGGAGCGAAAGCCAGGGGAGCAAACGGGAUUAGAUACCCCGGGUAGUCCUGGCCCUAAACGAUGAAUGCUUGGUGUGGCGGGUAUCGAUCCCUGCCGUGCCGAAGCUAACGCAUUAAGCAUUCCGCCUGGGGAGUACGGUCGCAAGGCUGAACUCAAAGGAUUGACGGCUGAGACGNGCGAGGACGACGACGAGGGAGGAGG